AUACGUAGGGUGCGAGCGUUGUCCGGAAUUACUGGGCGUAAAGAGCUCGUAGGUGGUUUGUCGCGUCGUCUGUGAAAUUCCGGGGCUUAACUCCGGGCGUGCAGGCGAUACGGGCAUAACUUGAGUACUGUAGGGGAGACUGGAAUUCCUGGUGUAGCGGUGAAAUGCGCAGAUAUCAGGAGGAACACCGGUGGCGAAGGCGGGUCUCUGGGCAGAAACGGACGCUGAGGAGCGAAAGCAUGGGUAGCGAACAGGAUUAGAUGCCCUGGUAGUCCAUGCCGUAAACGGUGGGCGCUAGGUGUAGGGGUCUUCCACGACUUCUGUGCCGUAGCUAACGCAUUAAGCGCCCCGCCUGGGGAGUACGGCCGCAAGGCUAAAACUCAAAGGAAUUGACGGGG
rnacentral:rRNA from 1 species